GCCUUCGUGGUGUAAUUGGUCAGCACGCUCGGCGGGUAUUCGAGAGGUCCGUGGUUCGAGUCCCGGCGAGGGCA
rnacentral:tRNA from 1 species